AUAUUUUGUCUGUCUGUUAGGAACAUUAAAGGAACACGGCACCGUUUUAUGAAAUUGGGUUAUUCACCGUCUCCCCUAGAGUUAGAUAAGUGAGCAAAAGCAUUUUUGUCUCCGUGCAUGCGUUGUCUUAGUCCGUCAGCGCCUCUGCUAGCUUAGCAUAGUGAAUGGAAUCUCUCAUCGCCAAAUAGCAUGUUAUGAGUAAAAGUGAACCAAGUGAACAACAACAACAAAAAAUCCCUAACUUCUUU